UACGUAGGUGGCAAGCGUUGUCCGGAUUUACUGGGCGUAAAGAGCGCGCAGGCGGUCGAUUUAGUCGCGUGUGAAAGCCCCCGGCUCAACUGGGGAGGGUCACGCGAUACUGAUCGACUCGAAGGCAGGAGAGGGUAGUGGAAUUCCCGGUGUAGUGGUGAAAUGCGUAGAUACCGGGAGGAACACCAGUGGCGAAGGCGACUACCUGGCCUGUUCUUGACGCUGAGGCGCGAAAGCUAGGGGAGCAAACGGG
rnacentral:rRNA from 1 species